CUUCCAGUAGCACCUUAGAGACCAAGUUUGUUAUUGGUAUGAGCUUUCGUGUGCAUGCAAACUUAGUUGGUCUCUAAGGUGCUACUGGAAG
rnacentral:miRNA from 1 species